AUGGCGGCCUUGGCGACGGCCGACGGAUGGUGGGACUGGAUCCGGUCGACAGUGGUAACCCAGCCGACACUAGAUCUGGUUGAAGCGGACGACAAGUGCAGAAUGGGAGGAGCCGUGGAUGUGUUCGCGCCUCUCCAACUGAAUCUGAACACGCUGUGCGAUAUGAGCAGCUUAUCGCCGCCGGACUCUGAACAGUCCACGAGCAAGGACGACCCGCAAGCUCCUGGUUGGACAUGGAGGGUGCUUGUUGGACAGGCUCCUGCGCCAUGUUCGGGUAGAGUUUGUGCCCUUGAGAAGACAAUCAGGGGGUUAGCUGAGAAGAAGACUGACACUGUUGUUGGA
rnacentral:rRNA from 1 species